rnacentral:rRNA from 2 species
GGCUCAGAACGAACGCUGGCGGCAGGCCUAACACAUGCAAGUCGAGCGCCGUAGCAAUACGGAGCGGCAGACGGGAGAGUAACACGUGGGAACGUGCCCUUCAGUUCGGAACAACCCAGGGAAACUUGGGCUAAUACCGGAUACGUCCGUAAGGAAGAAAGAUUUAUCGCUGAAGGAUCGGCCCGCGUCUGAUUAGCUAGUUGGUGGGGUAAUGGCCCACCAAGGCGACGAUCAGUAGCUGGUCUGAGAGGAUGAUCAGCCUCACUGGGACUGAGACACGGCCCAGACUCCUACGGGAGGCAGCAGUGGG